GAUUACCCUUAAUCACACCCACGUAUGACAUCAUCAAAUAUUAGCUAAAAAUCUCCUUUUACAGCUAAACAUAAUAAUAAAUAAUCGUCUAUCUACUAUCUUACUUAAAUAUACAUUAUUUAUUGUAAGAUUUGAAGUUCACUUAAUACCUUUUGACACAGCCACUCCUUUUAAAAAAAAAUCAAGUAUAAUCUAAAUAUUUUAUCAUGAUUUCUUCAAGAAAAAAAAAAGAAAAAUGUAAAAGAUGUCUUCGUUACAUCCAUCCAGUUGCGUAAAAAACUCAUUGAUUUUAUCAGAUUAUGGCCAUGACUAGUGAUUUGAUUAAUUAUUCGACCAAACCACAUCUUAUUUUUGAAUCUAUCUCAUGCGUUCGUUCGCCAAGAAGAAUCCCUCUAUUCGUCUCCUAGUCUUAGUUUUCCUAUUUCUUCGGAAAGAGUUCCAAGGUGGGGUUGGAGUGACUCUCAUCAUCUUCACUUAGAUGCUAAUGUAAAAGAAGUGAAAACCUCAGAAUAGGUUUCCUUAGUGACUAAGGAACGAUUAAUGAAGAUUGGAUCGGACGAACGACAAAAUCAUUUCUAUUGGGAAUAAUUACGUUCUAGCUCCUAAAUAAAGGCAACGAUAACAUCUAUCAAGAAUUUAUUAGCAAACAUUUUAUAAAAAUAUAAGUACUUAGUUCAUCGGUGCCCUCUGAUCUUUUCUGCAAUGGAAGUAAAUAUUUAUGUUUUAAUAUUUUUUUGCAAAUUUCCAAGCAUUUCUGAAUUAGACGCUCUUGACUCAUAAUUAUCAAUUUUUCUUAAUUUUUAAUCAUAGAGUGUUAAUAUUUAGUAAAUACAUGUUAUCCAGAUGGUUCUUUUA
rnacentral:lncRNA from 1 species